rnacentral:rRNA from 1 species
CCCUUAGAUGUUCUGGGCCGCACGCGUGCUACACUGAGUGGAUCAGCGGGUCAGGUUGCGCGAAAGCGUUUCCUAGUCUUUAAAUCCGCUCGUGAUGGGGAUUGACGGUUGCAAUUUUCUGUCAUGAACGAGGAAUACCUUGUAAGCGCGGGUCAUCAUCCCGCGCUGAAUACGUCCCUGCCCUUUGUACACACCGCCCGUCGCUCCUACCGAUUGAGUGGUCCGGUGAGGCUUUGGGAUCUGAGCGGAAAGAGCGUUUCGCUGUUUCUGCUCGGAAAACUCAGUCGAACCUUAUCAUUUAGAGGAAGGAGAAGUCGUAACA